CCUACGGGCGGCAGCAGUAGGGAAUCUUCCACAAUGGGCGAAAGCCUGAUGCAGCAACGCCGCGUGCGUGAAGAAGGUCCUCGGAUCGUAAAACUCUGUUUGUAGAGAAGAAAGUCCGUGAGAGUAACUGUUCACGUUUCGACGGUAUCUAACCAGAAAGCCACGGCUCACUACGUGCCAGCCGCCGCGGUAGUACGUAGUUGGCAAGCGUUAUCCGGAUUUAUUGGGCGUAAAGGGAGCGGAGGCGGUCUUUUAAGGCUGAUGUGAAAGCCUUGGGCUUAACCGGAGUAGUGCAUUGGAGACUGGGGGACUAGAGAGUAGAAGAGGAAGGUGGAACUCCAGGUGUAGCGGUGAAAUGCUUAGAUAUCAGGAAGAACACCAGUGGCGAAGGCGGCUUACCGGUCUAUAACUGACGCUGAGGUUCGAAAGCGUGGGUAGCAAACAGGAUUAGAUACCCUUGUAGUC
rnacentral:rRNA from 1 species